rnacentral:rRNA from 1 species
AUUGAACGCUGGCGGCAGGCCUAACACAUGCAAGUCGAGCGAGCGGCGGACGGGUGAGUAAUGUAUGGGGAUCUGCCCGAUAGAGGGGGAUAACUACUGGCAACGGUGGCUAAUCCCGCAUCCUAUCAGAUGCGCCUAGGUCGGAUUAGCUAGUUGGGGGGGUAAAGGCCUACCAAGGCGACGAUCCGUAACUGGUCUGAGAGGAUGAUCAGCCACACUGGAACUGAGACACGGUCCAGACUCCUACGGGAGGCAGCAGUGGGGAAUAUUGCACAAUGGGCGCAAGCCUGAUGCAGCCAUGCCGCGUGUAUGAAGAAGGCCUUAGGGUUGUAAAGUACGUUCAGCGGGGAGGCGUUACCCGCAGAAGAAGCACCGGCUAACUCCGUGCCAGCAGCCGCGGUAAUAC